rnacentral:rRNA from 1 species
UACAGAGGUCUCAAGCGUUGUUCGGAUUCAUUGGGCGUAAAGGGUGCGUAGGCGGCGCGGUAAGUCGGGUGUGAAAUUUCGAGGCUUAACUUCGAAACUGCAUUCGAUACUGCCGUGCUUGAGGACUGGAGAGGAGACUGGAAUUUACGGUGUAGCGGUGAAAUGCGUAGAUAUCGUAAGGAAGACCAGUGGCGAAGGCGGGUCUCUGGACAGUUCCUGACGCUGAGGAGCGAAGGCGUGGGGAGCGAACGGG